UGUAAAUAGCAGUGUAUUGUAAAUAUGUUAUCACAACUUGUAUAUUUGCAGAACUUGAAUUUACGAUCUUUCCGUCCUUUUACAAUCUUUCCCUCCUUUCAGAUCAAUCUGUGAUAUCUUCUCUGUGAUGUCAUUCUUAUAGUAGCUGUGGUUCAAUGUUCAGAUGUGCAUGAAGAGAAUUUACCUGUAACAACUGGGAUAACCUGUGCCGUCCAAGAUGACAAGACCACUGUGUUAUGUUCACCUUGUAUCUGUGAUUUAUUUUUGUGAUUUUUAAUACAAUUUGAGCCAAAA